UUCGCAUGAAGUAGCAAUUAAAGGAGCAAUCCGCUAUGAGAUGGGCCCGCGGCGCAUUAGCUAGUUGGUGAGGUAACGGCUCACCAAGGCGACGAUGCGUAGCCGACCUGAGAGGGUGAUCGGCCACAUUGGGACUGAGACACGGCCCAGACUCCUACGGGAGGCAGCAGUGGGGAAUAUUGCACAAUGGGGGAAACCCUGAUGCAGCAACGCCGCGUGAGUGAUGACGGCCUUCGGGUUGUAAAGCUCUGUCUUCAGGGACGAUAAUGACGGUACCUGAGGAGGAAGCCACGGCUAACUACGUGCCAGCAGCCGCGGUAAUACGUAGGUGGCGAGCGUUGUCCGGAUUUACUGGGCGUAAAGGGAGCGUAGGCGGACUUUUAAGUGAGAUGUGAAAUACCCGGGCUCAACUUGGGUGCUGCAUUUCAAACUGGAAGUCUAGAGUGCAGGAGAGGAGAAUGGAAUUCCUAGUGUAGCGGUGAAAUGCGUAGAGAUUAGGAAGAACACCAGUGGCGAAGGCGAUUCUCUGGACUGUAACUGACGCUGAGGCUCGAAAGCGUGGGGACCAAACGGGAUUAGAUACCCUGGUAGUCCACGCCGUA
rnacentral:rRNA from 1 species